UACGAAGGGUGCAAACGUUGCUCGGAAUUAUUGGGCGUAAAGCGCACGUAGGCGGCUUGGCAAGUCGGAUGUGAAAUACCUCGGCUCAACCGAGGAACUGCGUCCGAUACUGCUUGGCUUGAGGUCCGGAGGGGAGAGUGGAAUUCCCGGUGGAGCGGUGAAAUGCGUAGAGAUCGGGAAGAACGCCGGCGGCGAAAGCGACUCUCUGGUCGGAAUCUGACGCUGAGGUGCGAAAGCUAGGGGAGCAAACGGG
rnacentral:rRNA from 1 species